CUGCACUUUGUCCACAACCUUCCCUUCUCUUUCUAUUCCCCAGUGAACUGAGGUUUUUACCGAUUUAUAGAGCAGUCAAAUCCGAAGUGCUCGAGUGCUUAGAAACCCCCUCUGGUGCUUGGUUGAACAAGGGAAUCACAAGAAAACGAAAAUGCAAAAACUGAACUUCGGGGGUCGUUCUGUGCCUUCCAGCAUCUUGUACAGCAAAUCCUGACUCGUGUCUUUUUACCCCCAAGAUAUGUCUUCAGUAGCGACUGAAUCUGCCACUCUCAGAAUAAGUUCCUUGCAUUUAUUCCAAAUAAUCUCGUUUACUCUCACCUGUUUAUGCAAAUUGUAUAAGGUUUCUUAUGCCCAAGCUUGAAAAAUGAUUUCCCAGUAGACAAGAGGCGGCUACCUAUCCUACAGUUACGGUAUUUAUUUACAUAAGAAGAUCUUACAGGAGUUCUUUGCUUGAAUCCGUUCUAACACCCGCGGCAGCUGCACGCGCUCACAGAAGGUGGAGGUUACUUGCCCAGGUACAGACGACCUCGGGGCAGUGACGAGCAAAGACCAGAGACUGCUGAGCCCUCGCAUCUGGGUGGCGGAAUUGCCUGCGGGGUUUUGCCCUUGGUUUACUGAGGGGGGUCUUGGUUGCUGCUGAAGCCCCCCACCCCUUCUAAAGUGCAAUGCAAAAGGGACAUCAUGUAUAUGCAGCGUUUGUUUGGAAUUUUCUUUGCUUUUGUUUUCUUUGCGGUUCUGUGUGCAUGGAUUCCACACCUCUGCCGUAGUUAUUUCUUCAAGGGAAACUAAAUGAUUUAGUUGGAGCAAAGCUUUAAGUGUGUUGGCGUGCUUCUGUGUGGCUGUCCUGUGUCGCCAGGUCGAAAAUCACAGUGAGGUAGAGGCCCUGCCCCAUCCCCAGGGCCGCCAGGCUUGCUCCGUUUGCUUUGAGUUUUUAGACCCCAGAGGGAGAUGAGCUUUUCCAAGCUGUGUCUGGGCCAGAGCCUCUCCUUGCCCUUGCUCCAUCCCGACGGUCACCGUUGGGUCCACGCCUCCACCGCCCCAUCUUGCCCCAAACGGAAAGCGCUGUAUCUGCAGUGGCAGCCCUUCCCCACUUCGGCUCUGGGAGGGUCCAGCCAGUGUCACCUGGGCCCACCCUUUCCUGCAGCUGCCAGGCCCGUGCGGUCAGUGGGACCCGGACGUGGGCAGGCGAGUUCGGG
rnacentral:lncRNA from 1 species